rnacentral:rRNA from 1 species
GAUGAACGCUGGCGGCGUGCCUAAUACAUGCAAGUCGAGCGAACAGAUGAGGAGCUUGCUCCUCUGACGUUAGCGGCGGACGGGUGAGUAACACGUGGAUAACCUACCUAUAAGACUGGGAUAACUUCGGGAAACCGGAGCUAAUACCGGAUAAUAUAUUGAACCGCAUGGUUCAAUAGUGAAAGACGGUUUUGCUGUCACUUAUAGAUGGAUCCGCGCCGCAUUAGCUAGUUGGUAAGGUAACGGCUUACCAAGGCAACGAUGCGUAGCCGACCUGAGAGGGUGAUCGGCCACACUGGAACUGAGACACGGUCCAGACUCCUACGGGAGGCAGCAGUAGGGAAUCGUCCGCAAUGGGCGAAAGCCUGACGGAGCAACGCCGCGUGAGUGAUGAAGGUCUUCGGAUCGUAAAACUCUGUUAUUAGGGAAGAACAUAUGUGUAAGUAACUGUGCACAUCUUGACGGUACCUAAUCAGAAAGCCACGGCUAACUACG